AGUGAACGCUGGCGGCAGGCCUAACACAUGCAAGUCGAGCGGCAGCGGGUCCCCGCGAGGGGAUGCCGGCGAGCGGCGGACGGGUGAGGAACACAUCGGAAUCUGCCUGGUUGUGGGGGAUAACGUAGGGAAACUUACGCUAAUACCGCAUGCGACCCUGAGUCGACGGACUGGGGGUGAAAGUGAGGGACCUUCGGGCCUCACGCGACCAGAUGAGCCGAUGUCGGANAGCUAGUUGGCGGGGUAACGGCCCGCCAAGGCGACGAUCCGUAGCUGGUCUGAGAGGAUGAUCAGCCACACUGGGACUGAGACACGGCCCAGACUCCUACGGGAGGCAGCAGUGGGGAAUCUUGCGCAAUGGGCGAAAGCCUGACGCAGCGACGCGCGUGA
rnacentral:rRNA from 1 species